CAGUUGUAUGAAAGGAGAGAAGGCUAGCCCUCUGCUUGAGGAGGAUGCAAUAGGUCCUAGUGUAGCCUAGGUACAUUACUCUAAAUUGCUAUGGAUAAAAGUGUCUGCUUAAUGGCUUAAAUUAUUUU